AUAAGCAUUGAGACCUUGCCCGGCAAACACCUGCUCCGGGGGGCCCAGCAGAGGGGGCCCAGGAGAGACGGAGCCCCCUGCUUCAUGACGGCUCUCACCGAACCUGGACCUCGCGGACUCCGCUAGAUGAGAUGGCCGGGGUGCUUGUGUCUCUGCUCCUCCAGGGCUGGGAUUUACAGACGUGUGCCACCACGCUGGGCUGCAGAUGUGGCUACUGGGGAUCAAACUCAGUUCUGGAUUCUGGGAAAUCCUAGUUGGCUCUACAUCUGGCAGGGGCCUGGCCUUCGCUUCUAAAACCAAGCCUUAACUGCUGCAUGCUCUGGAACAGAAGAAAUGGACCCAACUCCCUCUCAAGCCGUAAUCCCACCAUGAGAUCACUUCCUUCCAGACUUAGUCUCCUCCACCAGCCCCAUCUCUUCCUCCUGUCAUGUGCCAAGCAGCUUCCACACAUGAAUUUGGGGGGGGAAGAGUCAGGUCACAGCACUGUGUUCAGAUGACCUGUUGGGAUGGCAAACUGAACCCACUAAUAAAUUUGUG